rnacentral:rRNA from 1 species
UACGUAGGGGGCGAGCGUUAUCCGGAUUUAUUGGGCGUAAAGCGUGUGUAGGCGGUUUAUUAAGUUUAAGAUUAAAGCCCGAGGCUUAACCUCGGUUCGUCUUAAAAACUGGUAGACUUGAGUGUGGUAGAGGCAAGUGGAAUUUCUAGUGUAGCGGUUAAAUGCGUAGAUAUUAGAAGGAACACCAGUGGCGAAGGCGGCUUGCUGGGCCAUUACUGACGCUGAUGCACGAAAGCGUGGGGAGCAAAUAGGAUUAGAUACCCUAGUAGUCCACGCUGUAAACGAUGAGUACUAAGUGUCGGGAAACCGGUGCUGAAGUUAACACAUUAAGUACUCCGCCUGAGUAGUACGGUCGCAAGGCUGAA